rnacentral:rRNA from 1 species
UGCCAGCCGCCGCGGUAAUACGGAGGGGGCGAGCGUUGUUCGGAAUUACUGGGCGUAAAGGGCGCGUAGGCGGCGAGAUCAGUCAGGCGUGAAAGCCCCGGGCUCAACCUGGGAUGUGCGUUUGAUACUAUCUUGCUCGAGACCGGAAGAGGAUGGCGGAAUACCCAGUGUAGAGGUGAAAUUCGUAGAUAUUGGGUGGAACACCAGUGGCGAAGGCGGCCAUCUGGUCCGGAUCUGACGCUGAGGCGCGAAAGCGUGGGGAGCAAACAGGAUUAGAUA